GGGACUAAAAGACUGAAAACCCCACUUCAGCAGAAAUUGUGUCAUGGAAAGGUUCGCAUCCCCGGGCAACCGAACACUCAGUGACAUUGACUUGGGUCUUGAGAGAAUUAAGCGCCAGUCAAAGGCAGGAUAAAGUUUGCAACAUCCUAAUGAAGCCGAAGGGUGGGGGGAACUUGCAGUCACGGAAUGAAUGCACACGGGAUAGAGGGAGAAAGAAACACGUGCACUCAUCAUGUUUAAUGGGGCAGCUCCCACCUUCACCUUUCUUAGGUUGUCUUUCCCUCCUUCUUUUCUCCUUCUCUCCAUUCUCCUCUCCCUACCCCCUCCAGACGCCAUCUCUUCCCUCUAUCUCUCUGUGACACAAGUGAAUGUGGAAGUGAAAGAGAAGACUGCGACCGACACUCCCCACCCCUGUGCAAGGCAAUGGCCAGGUCCUCCUGCCGAACCUUCCUAGGGGGUGAAUCUCCUGUCGAUAAGGCCUGGCAGUAGCCAAGUACCUCAGGGCAUCUACUGAAGAAAAAGGUGGAUAGUCAUAAAAAGAAGAGUGUUACAGUUGCUCAAUUCACCUUAAGGACUAUUCACUCAACAAAACCAAAGCUCUCAAGGACUGAUUCAGUAUCCUGCAGAAUGUGGACUCUACCAAUCAAAUUUGUGGUUACCUGCUGCUAAAUUGCACUGCCCACAAAGUGCUAAACUGCAAGGAACUUGCAUAUCCCAGAAAAUUAUUUAGACUGUGCUGUCAGGUUCUAGGACCAGCUCAAAAAGGAAGACAGUUUCAGGGGGUGGCAUCUCAUCUGAGGAGGGAAUGUGCCUCCUAAAUGAUUGGGGCUGUCCCGUUUGUCGCAGGACAGUCCUGGAUUGUUACUGAAAUGUCCUGUGUUUCUCUUUGAUCUCCUGCACGGAAUAGCCAGAAAAAGACACAAAAGCAGGGAAUGUAAUAUGUUUCUCUAGCGCCAAAAACCUACGCAAAGAGGCUUGCGAACAAUAGCAACCAUGUUUGUGUCCUUUUUGACUGAUUAAAGACUUCAUCACAAAGUUUUAAAUAACGCUUGCGACUUUUAAUUACAUUACCCCAAAAGUUUCUGAAAUGUAAUUAAAAAGAGGCUUUUGGCAGAGAGCCCAGCUGCACUUAGAUACUUUUGUAACAAUUUAAGAUGAGAAAAGAUACAACACGCCUGAUCUUUUUGCCCCUCUUUUUCAAAUGUAAGGAGAUAUGCAAUAGCUUAUGCCUGACACAACCAGAGAACCAACACCUGUCUGUUCAUCUUCAGACCGAGGUAAAAACUGUGUAUGUUUCUACAAUCAUUAUGGAUUCAUGCAGCUUAGUUACCAUCAAGUACAAGCUACUGUUUAUUAUUAUAGAAAAAUAAUAAGUUCCUGGCAACUUUGCAGUUGGUCUCCAUUAUUUAUGCUUUAUAGUUUCUUUUUUUUCUAGUUAUUUGCCUUCCUCUUCUACCUCUUUCAAGUGGAAGUCACUGUCCCCUUCAGCAAAGAAAAAAAAAAUAUUGCUCUUUGCUACAAUUUUCUGCCUAAAAAGUCACAUUUUAAAAAGGGGAAACAAUAGUUACUAACAGCAUUUUAAAAUAUUCUGUCAUGUAGGGAGUUCCUCAACCAACAUAUGUUAAAUAAGAUUAAAGGGGUAGUUCACCUUUAAGGUAACUUUAAGUAUGCUAUAGAAUGGCCAAUUCUAAGCAACUUUUCAAUUGG